CAAUAGCGUAUAUUAAAGUUGUUGCAGUUAAAAAGCUCGUAGUUGGAUUUCUGGUUGAAGCGACCGGUCGGGCGUUGAUUCGUCUGCACUGGAGUCGGUUUUGGCCAUCCUCUAGGAAAGUGCGUCUGGUAUUAAGUUAUCGGGCGUAUGAUCCUGGUCUUUUACUGUGAAAAAAUUAGAGUGUGUAAAGCAGGCCUUCGCCUUGAAUACAUUAGCAUGGAAUAAUAAGAUAGGACUUUGGUCUAUUUUGUUGGUUUGCAGACCGAAGUAAUGAUUAAUAGGGAUAGUUGGGGGUAUUUAUAUUCCGAUGUCAGAGGUGAAAUUCUUAGAUUUUCGGAAGAUAAACUUAUGCGAAAGCAUUUACCAAGGAUGUUUNCAUUAA
rnacentral:rRNA from 1 species